UACGUAGGGGGCAAGCGUUGUCCGGAAUCAUUGGGCGUAAAGCGCGUGUAGGCGGUUCAGUAUGUCUGGUGUGAAAGUCCAGGGCUCAACCCUGGGAUGGCGGUGGAUACUGCUGGACUAGAGUGCGGAAGAGGCGAGUGGAAUUCCCGGUGUAGCGGUGAAAUGCGCAGAUAUCGGGAGGAACACCAAUUGCGAAGGCAGCUCGCUGGGACGUUACUGACGCUGAGACGCGAAAGCGUGGGGAGCAAACAGG
rnacentral:rRNA from 1 species